CUGGGCUUUUGUGCUUUGGUGACUUAAAGACAACACAUACAAUUUUGUCAUUUGUAAUUGGGGCAUUGAGGAUUGAAAUAGCUUCCGAAUCAAGUUUUCUAGUCGGCUCCACAUGAAUGUUAUUAGGUUUCCCAGCUUGAUUGAGUAAGGAAUAAAAAAAUUGCUCUGUGUGUGCUUUAACCUCAUCUAAAUUCUCAAUAAGAUUAUCAUCUUUGUC
rnacentral:lncRNA from 1 species